rnacentral:rRNA from 1 species
CAAUAGCGUAUAUUAAAGUUGUUGCAGUUAAAAAGCUCGUAGUUGGAUCUCGGGUCCAGGCUUGUGGUGCAGCUUAGGCUGCUUACUGCUCGUCCUGACCUACCUACCGGUUUUCCCUUGGUGCUCUUAAGUGAGUGUCUUGGGUGGCCGGAACGUUUACUUUGAAAAAAUUAGAGUGUUUAAAGCAGGCUUAUGCCGUUGAAUACAUUAGCAUGGAAUAAUAAGAUAGGACUUUGGCGUCUAUUUUGUUGGUUUGCACACCAAGGUAAUGAUUAAUAGGGAUAGUUGGGGGUAUUCGUAUUUAAUUGUCAGAGGUGAAAUUCUUGGAUUUAUGAAAGACGAACUUCUGCGAAAGCAUUUACCAAAGAUGUUUUCAUUAAUCAAGAACGAAAGUUAGGGGAUCGAAGAUGAUUAGAUACCAU